CAGUCCACAAAGGAAUCAACCAGUGAAGGAGAAAAACAUUCAAAGCUGUAAAUUGCCAAAUCCAUCACCGGCCUUAAGGAGCUAACAAAGAAAUCAUCAGUCCACAAAAGAAUCAACCAGUGAAGGAGAAAAACAUUCAAAGCUGUAAAUUGCCAAAUCCAUCAGUUGGAAGAUGGAUGUCA